rnacentral:tRNA from 1 species
AAUAAAGUCAGCUAACCAAGCUUUUGGGCCCAUACCCCAAACAUGAUGACUAACUAUUAUCCUUUAUUA